ACGAAGGGUGCAAGCGUUAAUCGGAAUUACUGGGCGUAAAGGGUGCGUAGGCGGUUCGUUAAGUCUGUUGUGAAAUCCCCGGGCUCAACCUGGGAAUGGCAAUGGAUACUGGCGAGCUAGAGUGUGUCAGAGGAUGGUGGAAUUCCCGGUGUAGCGGUGAAAUGCGUAGAGAUCGGGAGGAACAUCAGUGGCGAAGGCGGGUCUCUGGGCAACAACUGACGCUGAGGAGCGAAAGCGUGGGGAGCGAACAGGA
rnacentral:rRNA from 1 species